rnacentral:rRNA from 1 species
AGAGUUUGAUCCUGGCUCAGGAUGAACGCUAGCGACAGGCCUAACACAUGCAAGUCGAGGGGCAGCAUUUCUAGCUUGCUAGAAGAUGGCGACCGGCGCACGGGUGAGUAACGCGUAUGCAACCUACCUUAUACUGGGGGAUAGCCCAAAGAAAUUUGGAUUAAUACCGCAUAACAUAUUUGAAUCGCAUGGUUUGAAUAUUAAAACUCCGGUGGUAUAAGAUGGGCAUGCGUAGCAUUAGUUAGUUGGUGAGGUAACGGCUCACCAAGACUAUGAUGCUUAGGGGGUCUGAGAGGAUAGUCCCCCACACUGGUACUGAGACACGGACCAGACUCCUACGGGAGGCAGCAGUGAGGAAUAUUGGUCAAUGGACGAAAGUCUGAACCAGCCAUGUCGCGUGCAGGAUGACGGCCCUAUGGGUUGUAAACUGCUUUUUUUACAGGAAUAAUUGUCGAUACGUGUAUCGAUUUGAAUGUACUGUAUGAAUAAGGAUCGGCUAACUCCGUGCCAGCAGCCGCGGUAAUACGGAGGAUUCGAGCGUUAUCCGGAUUUAUUGGGUUUAAAGGGUCCGUAGGCGGUUCUUUAAGUCAGUGGUGAAAUCCCAGAGCUCAACUCUGGAACUGCCAUUGAAACUGAAGAACUUGAAUAUGGUUGAGGUAGGCGGAAUACGUUAUGUAGCGGUGAAAUGCAUAGAUAUAACGUAGAACACCAAUUGCGAAGGCAGCUUACUAAACCAUUAUUGACGCUGAUGGACGAAAGCGUGGGGAGCGAACAGGAUUAGAUACCCUGGUAGUCCACGCCGUAAACGAUGAUUACUCGUUGUGCACAAUACAUCGUGCGUGACUGAGCGAAAGCAUUAAGUAAUCCACCUGGGGAGUACGUUCGCAAGAAUGAAACUCAAAGGAAUUGACGGGGGCCCGCACAAGCGGAGGAACAUGUGGUUUAAUUCGAUGAUACGCGAGGAACCUUACCUGGACUUAAAUGUAGAUUGACCGGUUUAGAAAUAGAUCUUUCCUUCGGGACAAUUUACAAGGUGCUGCAUGGUUGUCGUCAGCUCGUGCCGUGAGGUGUCGGGUUAAGUCCCAUAACGAGCGCAACCCCUAUCGUUAGUUGCUAGCAGGUAAUGCUGAGGACUCUAGCGAGACUGCCACCGUAAGGUGAGAGGAAGGUGGGGAUGACGUCAAAUCAGCACGGCCCUUACGUCCAGGGCUACACACGUGUUACAAUGGCCAGUACAAAGGGCAGCUACCUGGUGACAGGAUGCUAAUCUCAAAAGCUGGUCUCAGUUCGGAUCGGAGUCUGCAACUCGACUCCGUGAAGUUGGAUUCGCUAGUAAUCGUAUAUCAGCAAUGAUACGGUGAAUACGUUCCCGGGCCUUGUACACACCGCCCGUCAAGCCAUGGAAGCCGAGGGUGCCUGAAGUACGUUACCGCAAGGAGCGUCCUAGGGUAAAAUUGGUAACUGGGGCUAAGUCGGAACAAGGUA